CCUACGGGAGGCAGCAGUGAGGAAUAUUGGUCAAUGGACGAGAGUCUGAACCAGCCAAGUAGCGUGAAGGAUGACUGCCCUAUGGGUUGUAAACUUCUUUUAUAUGGGAAUAAAACAGGGUAUGCAUACCCUCUUGUAUGUACCAUAUGAAUAAGGAUCGGCUAACUCCGUGCCAGCAGCCGCGGUAAUACGGAGGAUCCGAGCGUUAUCCGGAUUUAUUGGGUUUAAAGGGAGCGUAGGUGGAUUGUUAAGUCAGUUGUGAAAGUUUGCGGCUCAACCGUAAAAUUGCAGUUGAAACUGGCAGUCUUGAGUACAGUAGAGGUGGGCGGAAUUCGUGGUGUAGCGGUGAAAUGCUUAGAUAUCACGAAGAACUCCGAUUGCGAAGGCAGCUCACUGGACUGCAACUGACACUGAUGCUCGAAAGUGUGGGUA
rnacentral:rRNA from 1 species